CAAUAGCGUAUAUUAAAGUUGUUGCAGUUAAAAGCUCGUAGUUGGAUUUCGGAGUGGGCCAGUUGGUCCGCCGCAAGGUGUGUUACUGACUGGUUUGCUCUUCUUCGCAAAGACUGCGUGUGCUCUUGAGUGAGUGUGCGUAGAAUUUACGACGUUUACUUUGAAAAAUUAGAGUGUUCAAAGCAGGCUAUUGCUUGAAUACAUGAGCAUGGAAUAAUGGAAUAGGACUUUGGUCCCAUUUUGUUGGUUUCUAGGGCCGAAGUAAUGAUUAAUAGGGACAGUUGGGGGCAUUAGUAUUUAAUUGUCAGAGGUGAAAUUCUUGGAUUUAUGAAAGACUAACUACUGCGAAAGCAUUUGCCAAGGAUGUUUUCAUUAAUCAAGAACGAAAGUUAGGGGAUCGAAGACGAUCAGAUACC
rnacentral:rRNA from 1 species